rnacentral:rRNA from 1 species
CGGAGGAUCCAAGCGUUAUCCGGAUUCAUUGGGUUUAAAGGGUGCGUAGGCGGAAUGAUAAGUCAGUGGUGAAAUCCCUUCGCUUAACGAAGGAACUGCCAUUGAUACUGUCAAUCUUGAGUACAUUUGAUGUGGCGGAAUGUGUCAUGUAGCGGUGAAAUGCUUAGAUAUGACACAGAACACCGAUUGCGAAGGCAGCUCACAAAACUGUAACUGACGCUGAGGCACGAAAGCGUGGGUAUCAAACAGGAUCAGAUACCCUGGUAGUCCACGCUGUAAACCAUGAUUACUCGAUGUUUGCGAUACACUGUAAGCGUCUAAGCGAAAGCGAUAAGUAAUCCACCUGGGGAUACGCUCGCAAGAGUG